rnacentral:rRNA from 1 species
UACGUAGGGGGCAAGCGUUGUCCGGAAUCAUUGGGCGUAAAGAGCGUGUAGGCGGCCAGAUAAGUCCGCUGUGAAAUCUCGAGGCUCAACUCCGAGCCUGCGUUCGAUACUGGGUAGCUAGAGUCUGGUAGGGGGAUCUGGAAUUCCUGGUGUAGCGGUGGAAUGCGCAGAUAUCAGGAGGAACACCGAUGGCGAAGGCAGGUCUCUGGGCAUUAACUGACGCUGAGGAGCGAAAGCAUGGGGAGCGAAUAGG